rnacentral:rRNA from 1 species
UCGGGAAUUUUGGGCAAUGGGCGAAAGCCUGACCCAGCAACGCCGCGUGAAGGAUGAAGUAUUUCGGUAUGUAAACUUCGAAAGAAUAGGAAGAAUAAAUGACGGUACUAUUUGUAAGGUCCGGCUAACUACGUGCCAGCAGCCGCGGUAAUACGUAGGGACCAAGCGUUGUUCGGAUUUACUGGGCGUAAAGGGCGCGUAGGCGGCGUGGUAAGUCAUCUGUGAAAUCUCCGAGCUUAACUCGGAACGGUCAGAUGAUACUGCUGUGCUAGAGUACAGAAAGGGCAAUCGGAAUUCUUGGUGUAGCGGUGAAAUGCGUAGAUAUCAAGAGGAACACCUGAGGCGAAGGCGGCAUCCUGGACCAUUACUGACGCUGAGGCGCGAAAGCUAGGGGAGCAAACGGGAUUAGAUACCCACGUAGUCCCUGAGCGGGCUGGCAAGGCGCAU